UGACUGUCCAGUCCUUUCACAGACACUGACACAGGCAUCAUUAUGAUGAUGUCAAAUGUUUUACUGCUGGUGAUACUGGGACUCUUUGCUCAGGAAUCAAUGGCAGAUAUAGUUCUGACUCAGGAUCAAGCAGCUCAGUCUGUUCAGCUGGGAGACACUGUCACCAUCAGCUGUACAACCAGUCAGAGUGUGGGCAGCAACCUCCACUGGUACCUGCAGAAACCUGGUCAGGCUCCUAAACUUCUGGUUUAUUAUGCCACAACUCGCCAGUCUGGGAUCCCUGAUCGUUUCAGUGGGAGUGGAUCUGGGACUCAGUUUACACUGAAAAUCACUGGAGUCCAGGCUGAAGAUGCAGGAGAUUAUUACUGUCAGCAGGGUUAUAGCACGCCGCUCACACAGUGA